ACUCCUACGGGAGGCAGCAGUGGGGAAUAUUGCACAAUGGGCACAAGCCUGAUGCAGCCAUGCCGCGUGUGUGAAGAAGGCCUUCGGGUUGUAAAGCACUUUCUAGUUGUGAGGAAGGUGGUGUCGUUAAUAGCGGCAUCAUUUGACGUUAGCAACAGAAGAAGCACCGGCUAACUCCGUGCCAGCAGCCGCGGUAAUACGGAGGGUGCGAGCGUUAAUCGGAAUUACUGGGCGUAAAGCGCAUGCAGGUGGUUUGUUAAGUCAGAUGUGAAAGCCCGGGGCUCAACCUCGGAACUGCAUUUGAAACUGGCAGACUAGAGUACUGUAGAGGGGGGUAGAAUUUCAGGUGUAGCGGUGAAAUGCGUAGAGAUCUGAAGGAAUACCCGGUGGCGAAGGCGGCCCCCUGGACAGAUACUGACACUCAGAUGCGAAAGCGUGGGGAGCAAACAGGAUUAGAUACCCUGUAGCACAGAG
rnacentral:rRNA from 1 species